rnacentral:rRNA from 1 species
UUGGAGGGCAAGUCUGGUGCCAGCAGCCGCGGUAAUUCCAGCUCCAAUAGCGUAUAUUAAAGUUGUUGCAGUUAAAAAGCUCGUAGUUGAAUUUCGGGGUUCUACCGUUGGUCGGGCUAUUGUCUGUACUGGCGUGUAGAAUUUCUACCUUCUGGGGAACUAUCAUGUUAUUAAUUUAGCGUGGUAGGAAACCAGGACCUUUACCUUGAAAAAAUUAGAGUGUUCAAAGCAGGCUUAUGUCUGAAUACAUUAGCAUGGAAUAAUAAAAUAGGACGGUGGUCCUGUUUUGUUGGUUUCUGAAUCACCGUAAUGAUUAAUAGGGAUAGUUGGGGGCAUUAGUAUUCAAUUGUCAGAGGUGAAAUUCUUGGACUUAUUGAAGACUAACUACUGCGAAAGCAUUUGCCAAGGAUGUUUUCAUUAAUCAAGAACGAAAGUUAGGGGAUCGAAGACGAUCAGAUACCGUCGUAGUCUUAACCAUAAACUAUGCCGACUAGGGAUCGGACGAUGUUAACUUUUCUUGACUCGUUCGGCGCCUUACGGGAAA